UGAGGAAUAUUGGUCAAUGGGGGCAACCCUGAACCAGCCAAGUCGCGUGAAGGAUGAAGGUCUUAUGGAUUGUAAACUUCUUUUACACGGGAAUAAAGUGGGGGACGUGUCCCCCUUUGCAUGUACCGUGUGAAUAAGGAUCGGCUAACUCCGUGCCAGCAGCCGCGGUAAUACGGAGGAUCCGAGCGUUAUCCGGAUUUAUUGGGUUUAAAGGGUGCGCAGGCGGGAUGUUAAGUCGGCGGUGAAAUUUUGCAGCUCAACUGUAAAAUUGCCUUCGAUACUGGCCUCCUUGAGUGUGGAUGAAGUAGGCGGAAUUUGUGGUGUAGCGGUGAAAUGCUUAGAUAUCACGAGGAACUCCGAUUGCGCAGGCAGCUUACUAAGCCACAACUGACGCUCAUGCACGAAGGCGUGGGGAUCAAACA
rnacentral:rRNA from 1 species